AAAAAAUACUCCUAACGUAUAUCAAUAUACCUUAAGUUACGCCACUGCUUUUUCACCUAUUUGACACAUGACAUAUGCGUGACAUAUGGUUGGUAGAAACGCGAGAUGACGCUAUGCUGUACCACAGAUUGUUUUAUAAACACGUGAUAAAGUUUAACAAUCUACCACAUUUUUAUAUGUUGUAAUCGUUUGAAAAUUUGUUUUUGGAAUUACGAAAUUAUGGUAUCAAACUUUGCAGUUUCUUACCGAUUUUUGAAUUACUUUGUAGCCCUGAAGGUCCAGCGCAAGCAUUAUAAUACCUCCAAAAUUCAGUUGUCGGGCUUGAAUGCCACUAUUCCAUAUAUUUCUACGCUCCGGUGUAGUAGUUGAACCUAUAAAAUGGAAAACAAUUCAUGUUAUAGUAAAACACUUGUAAUAUUUACAUACUUUGAGAAUGUGGGGUUCGUCAAAUACGUGGUGAUAAAUUCGCCAUGGAGUGGAAAUCAGGGCAUUCUUUCCUUGGGGUCAGGAAGAUGAGAUCAGUUGUCUGGGGCACCACAGUGGACGCAUCAAUUUUACUUGCCUCCAGUGGUGAUUGACUUUCAAUUUGUUUUUACCUCGAGGAGGCAAAAUCGUUGGUACCGCAGAUUGAUGCAGCCUUUGUGUACCUUGCACAUAGUCUUCAGCCCGAAAAUGUUGGUAGCAAAUGUACCCUCUCCGAUAAAUUUGGUUAUUUGUUAAACCCUCGAAUUUUGGGUUAUUGGAGG